GAUGAACGCUGGCGGCGUGCUUAACACAUGCAAGUCGAACGGACAGGCCCUGCUUUUGUGGCUUGCUCGAUUGGCGCACGGGUGUGUAACACGUGAGUAACCUCCCCUUGUCUUUGUGAUAUCUUCAGGAAACUGGGGCUAAUACCGGAUAGGAGCUCCUGCUGCAUGGUGGGGGUUGGAAAGUUUCGGCGGUUGGGGCUGGACUGGCGGCUUAUCCGCUUGUUUGGGGGGUAGUGGCUUACCAAGGCUUCGACGGGUAGGCGGCCUGAGAGGGGUGACGGCGACAAGGGGACUGAGGUACGGCCCAGACGGCUACGGGAGGCAGCAGGCGGAAAUAUGGCGGAAUGGGCGGAAGCCAGAUGCAGCAACGCCGCGUGCGGGAUGACGGCUUACGAGGGGAAAACCGCUGUGGCCGGAGACGAAGCGGGAGUGACGGUAAUGAGUAAAGAAGCACCGGCUAACUACGUG
rnacentral:rRNA from 1 species